AGUAUGUAUUCUAUUACCAUCUGUUAAAACCAGGUGGGGCAAUGUUCUUUAUCUUUCCCAGGACCCAUUCCCCCUCCAGGGGGAUCUCUUCUGUUAAUGGGCCAUUGAGUGAUAAAACUGCAUGACUGAUAAAAUUACAUCAUCCCAUUGAGAGAUGCUCCACCCAGGGGGAGGAGCCAAGCAUUCCUACCUGGAUAUAAUCUGAGGCUUAGAACACCACAGUCAGCCUUUCUCCACUGGAUUCCCAGAGGAAGACUGGACCCAUUUACACCACCACUGGACCUCCAGAGGAAAACUACACCCUUCUACAGGAUCAUUGCUUCAACAGAACCACAUCUGUCACUGCAGGAGCACCGCAGCCACCAUUUAAUUUGACUGCUACCAACACCCUGACCAGCAGGCUGUAUUCUGUCAGUGGUUUAAUUUUUAUUUUUUUUUUAUUGCUACUGCAUUUUUAUUUUAAUUUCCUUAGUAAAGAACUGUUAUUCUUCUUCCCAUACCUAUGCCUGAGAGCCCCUUGAUUUCAAGAUUAUAAUAAUUUGGAGGGGGAGGUGGUUUACCUUUUUUUUAUUUCAAGAGAGGUUUCUGCCUUCCUUAGCAGAUACCUGUCUUUUCAAACCAAGACAAGAACAAAUACAAAAGGCUUUUUCCAUUUGGAAAUGGAAUUUGAUGCUGCUGAGCUCGGCAGAUAGAUUACUUACUCUGGCCAUAUAGUUAUAUUAAUAAGACAGCCACACGAGAAACUGCUGAAUGUUUCUUAAAUCAAAGAGAAACUAAAGUCUAAGCAGAUGGUUAACCCUGAUUUAUGGCUGCUGUAGAAAGACAAUGGCGGGAAAAAUAAUUUUUAGAUAGGAAAAAUAAACUUGUGAGUUUUUGGAUCCCUAACUCAAUAGGAAUUACCAUGGUAAUCCUACCACAAAUAUCAAAAGAGGGAUACCAUGAAAGAAGAAUGAAGCCAGUAGGGCUGAAUGACCAGAAACAGGAAGGACCUGGCAGUUGCCUUGGCACUGGUGAAUGAUUACUUGGAUCUUGUUCUAGACUGGACAGGAGAACCUGGAGAGUGUAACCUAACAUCCCUUCAUCAGCUCCUUAACAAGAGACACAAUCAGGAUGAUCAACUAUUGAUUUGCCUGGUAACUAGAAGAACCAA
rnacentral:lncRNA from 1 species